GAUCAUGGCUCAGGAUGAACGCUAGCUACAGGCUUAACGCAUGCAAGUCGAGGGGCAGCAUGGUCUUAGCUUGCUAAGGCCGAUGGCGACCGGCGCACGGGNGAGUAACACGUAUCCAACCUGCCGUCUACUCUUGGACAGCCUUCUGAAAGGAAGAUUAAUACAAGAUGGCAUCAUGAGUCCGCAUGUUCACAUGAUUAAAGGUAUUCCGGUAGACGAUGGGGA
rnacentral:rRNA from 1 species